rnacentral:rRNA from 1 species
GAUGAACGCUAGCGGCAGGCUUAAUACAUGCAAGUCGUGGGGCAAGCGUUGGUAGCAAUAUCGGCGCCUAGACCGGCAAACGGGUGCGGAACACGUACACAACCUUCCUUUUAGUGGAGAAUAACCCGGGGAAACUUGGACUAAUACUCCGUAACAUGUUGAAAAGGCAUCUUUUUAAUAUUAUAGUAGCAAUGCGCUAAGAGACGGGUGUGCGCAUGAUUAGGUAGUUGGCGGGGUAACGGCCCACCAAGCCUACGAUCAUUAACUGGUGUGAGAGCACGACCAGUCACACGGGCACCGAGACACGGGCCCGACUCCUACGGGAGGCAGCAGUAAGGAAUAUUGGUCAAUGGAGGAAACUCUGAACCAGCCAUGCCGCGUGGAGGAUGAAGGUCCUCUGGAUUGUAAACUUCUUUUAUAUGGGACGAAAAAAGGGUUUUCUAACUCGACUGACGGUACCAUAUGAAUAAGCACCGGCUAACUCCGUGCCAGCAGCCGCGGUAAU